rnacentral:rRNA from 1 species
AUUGAACGCUGGCGGCAGGCCUAACACAUGCAAGUCGAACGAGUGGCGGACGGGUGAGUAAUGUCUGGGAAACUGCCUGAUGGAGGGGGAUAACUACUGGAAACGGUAGCUAAUACCGCAUACCAUCGGAUGUGCCCAGAUGGGAUUAGCUAGUAGGUGGGGUAAAGGCUCACCUAGGCGACGAUCCCUAGCUGGUCUGAGAGGAUGACCAGCCACACUUGAAAUGGUACACGGUCCAGACUCCUACGGGAGGCAGGAGUGGGGAAUAAUGGACAAUGGGGGCAAGCCGUAUUCAGCCAGGGCGCGGGGAUUAAGAAGGCCUUCGGGUUGGAAAGGUCCUUCAGCGGAGAGGCGUUACCCGCAGGAGAAGCACCGGCUAACUCCGUGCCAGCAGCGGCGGUAAUUC